AGAGUUUGAUCCUGGCUCAGGGUUAACGCUGGCGGCGCGCAUAACACAUGCAAGUCGAGCGAGGGCUUAUUUCCCGCAAGGGAGAUGAGUUCCUAGCGGCGAACGGGUGAGUAACACGUGGGCAACCUUUCCUAUCGCGGGGGAUAACACCGGGAAACCGAUGCUAAUACCGCAUGUCGUCACCGGCCGCAUGGCUGGUGAAGAAAGCAGCAAUGCACGAUGGGGUGGGCCCGCGGCCUAUCAGCUAGUCGGUGGGGUAACGGCCUACCGAGGCGAUGACGGGUAGCUGGUCUGAGAGGACGACCAGCCACACGGGGACUGAGACACGGCCCCGACUCCUACGGGAGGCAGCAGUGAGGAAUCUUCCGCAAUGGGCGAAAGCCUGACGGAGCGACGCCGCGUGUGGGAUGAAGUCCUUCGGGAUGUAAACCACUGUCGGGGGGGAAGACAUCGACGGUACCCUCCAAGAAAGCCCCGGCUAACUACGUGCCAGCAGCCGCGGUAAUACGUAGGGGGCAAGCGUUAUCCAGAUUUACUGGGCGUAAAGCGCGUGUAGGCGGCUGGUUAGGUGUGAUGUGAAAUCUUCCGGCUCAACCGGAAAACUGCAUUGCAAACCGGCCUGGCUAGAGUGCAGGAGAGGGAAGCGGAAUUCCAGGUGUAGCGGUGAAAUGC
rnacentral:rRNA from 1 species